rnacentral:tRNA from 1 species
GGAGAGAUGGCUCAGUGGUUAAGAGCACUGACUACUCUUACAGAGGUCCUGAGUUCAAUUCUCAGCAACUACA